CACUCACCCAGGACCACGCGGCCGCCCAGACGAAAUCUUCGUCGCCACGGCCGCGACAAAGCGUAGAGACAGACCUUAGCGCAUGCGCCCUAGAUCUGUGAUAAGGACCGCCUCUGAGGGGGCGGGGGCAAUGUCAACGGCGCCUGCGCCUUGCUGAGACGUUUGUUUGUAAGCAAGGCUUAGCCACGUGCGCUGACCAUAGGGAGCAGCGCACGGCCUUUGCACCAGGCUAGGUUGGACUUUGUGGUCAUCCUAUGGCCAUUUGGGUGGCUUGUAUCAUUCUCCGCAAACAUUAUCUAGGUUUAUGAAUUAAAGGAUUUUGAUAGGUUAUUUCUUCGUCGCCGACGGUGAAAUGAGCCAAUUCAAACCAGAUUAGAUUAGAUUAAAGGCAGGUUUAUUGGGAAGCUGUUUUCUGUCGAGUUCAUUGGCCCCAAGGACUCAGGCCAGGGGAGUCGCCAAAGUGGAGGGAGGGCGUGUGCGUAGAGAGAGAAGGAGAGACCAAAAUGCCUGGAUUAAAUAGGGAGGAGCCUCUGGGAGGGGAGGGCAGCCCGGCCCCUGAGCUGGAAAGUUCAGGGUUGGGGGCCAGAUGGCAGGGUAUGCCCGGUAGGGACUGAGGGAUGCUGAGAAAACCUGGAGAUUUUGAUAUGUACAAAAAGGGGGCCUGCCAAUGAAUGACUAGCUAAAGGUGCUUUUGCUUUGACGUCGUCACCGCCUUAGUCAUCUAGCACAUCUUAAAACAGAAGAGUAGGGGUUAGGGAUUUAGCUCAGUGGUAGAGCACUUGCCUAGCAAGCGCAAGGCCCUGGGUUCGGUCCCCAGCUCCGGAAAAAAAAAAAAAAAAAAAAAAAACAGAAGAAUAAAAAGUAUUGCUUCCCAAGACACACACACACACACACACACACAGAGCUAGGCAGAGCACCUGAGUGCAUGUACUACGUGCAGUAGGUCUACAAUAGAUGACUUGAUUACAUUAAGUUGCUUAAUACUUGUUAAUUAAUAUGGAAGCCAAGUAGUAAAAUUCUUUGCCCAACAAGAAUUCUGAAGAUAGGGGAUUUAGUUCAGUGGUAGAGCGCUUGCCUAGGAAGCGCAAGGCCCUGGGUUCGGUCCCCAGCUCCGAAAAAAAAAGAACCAAAAAAAAAAAAAAAAAAGAAUUCUGAAGAUAGCCUCACUUGGGUGAGAACUUUCAAAGAGAGAGUCCAGCUUCCCAAGAAAUAGCUGUAUUAAACUGGGAACUUCUUAGCCCAGAGAUGCCAAGAAUGGAGGAGGUAAAGUUAUCAGGGUCCUUGGCACGAAGUCCUGUGUGAAGGCCUCACCUCUCAACAUGGCUGCAUCAGGAUUCACAUUCCAACCCACGAACUUGGGGGCAACAUCCACACUACUACAGUGAAUCGCAAGUGGUGCCUGAGUAGGAGACACUUCACCAGCUUGAGCAACAGGAAUUCUUGAAGACAUCUAUGAGGGGGUUGGAUGGAGAGAGGUUUUCAACAGGGAGCAGCAACGCGAAGAAGUUAACCACUUAUAAGCUGGCUUAUUUAAAGACGAGACACCAGGCCUCUGACUGAAGCCAAGAUAGGGAAAGACCAGAGUCUAAGAUUCUGCAAACUGGGCAUGAAACUUAGACUUAUUUAUUAAGCAAAGAAGAGAUGUGAUUGACUUUAUAUUUAGGAAAGAAUAUGCCUGUUCAAGCAUCGUCAUAUAGAUAAAUAAAACGGAACUCAUACACGCAUAGUCAUCUGGGUUUCAGCGAUGGUCCCAAGUCAGUUCACUCAAUGGGGAAAUAACAGUCACUUUGACGAUGGUGCUGAGAUCGAGAAUGCUCAUUCACAAAAGAAUUGAAUAUGGGAGAAAGGGUAAUCAGAAGUAGAAUACUCAAAAAAGGAUAAUUCAAGGUGAAUCAAAGAGCUAAAUAUGAGCACUAAAAAUCAUAAGAUCAUUAAAGGGAAACUUCUGAGUUAGCAUUUAUGACCCUCGACUUGACAACGGAUUCUUAGAUAUGACGCCGAAGCACGAAUAGCAAAAGAAAACCAGCACUCGCUUGUACUUUACUAAACAUCUGUUGGAGGUGGUGUGGGCUAGAGCGAUGACUCAGUGGUUAAGAGCGCCAGCUGCCCUUCCAGAGGACCCAGGUUCAAUUCCCAGCACUCACAUGGCAGCUCAUAAACUGUUAACUCCAGUCCCAGCUCAUAACUGCUAAGUCCAGUUCCCUCAGACAGACAUACGUGCAGGCAAAACACCAAUGCACAUAAAAUAAAAAUAAAUCAUUUUUAAGAAAAUUAAAAA